rnacentral:rRNA from 1 species
GAUGAACGCUAGCUACAGGCUUAACACAUGCAAGUCGAGGGGCAGCAUGGAGUCUGCUUGCAGACUCUGAUGGCGACCGGCGCACGGGUGAGUAACGCGUAUCCAACCUGCCCAUUACUCGGGCAUAGCCCAGUGAAAACUGGAUUAACUCCCGAUACUGUUCUGAAGCGGCAUCUUAUCAGGACAAAAGGUUUACGGUAAUGGAUGGGGAUGCGUCUGAUUAGGUAGUUGGUGAGGUAACGGCCCACCAAGCCGACGACCAGUAGCCGACCUGAGAGGGUGAUCGGCCACAUUGGGACUGAGACACGGCCCAAACUCCUACGGGAGGCAGCAGGUGGGGAAUUAUUGGGCAAUGGGGGAAACCCUGACCCAGCAACGCCGCGUGGAGGAAGAAGGUUUUCGGAUCGUAAACUCCUGUCCUCAGGGAAGAGCAGAAGACGGUACCUGAGGAGGAAGCCCCGGCUAACUACGUG